rnacentral:lncRNA from 1 species
CAGGAAGAAGUGGGGUGGUGGAGUUAUGGGCUCAAAAUCCCUGGCCAAGACAAAGGCCAAAGAGAGACUCAUGGCCAAGGAGGCUGCACAGAGGAUGACUUAGGCUCUUAGUCUAGCCUUUUUCUAUCAAGGAUAGAAUCUUUUUACCUUCCUUUGUUGCUCCAAUUCAUGCUAGACAUUUUUGUUUCCAUGUGAUAUUGGAUAGACGAAAUGCUUUAUCAUGACUAGUAAAUGACAAUGUUUGGUUUUGUCAGGUGUUUAUGUACUUUCAAGUUUUUCGUAGAAUGAAAUGCAACAUUUUUAACGUGUUGUAUUGUUCUUCCUCUAGAAAUUUUGCAAAUUUGAGGCUCCCUUAUCGUUGUGGAAUUCAGGGUAUAGAGUGUGUGGUACCACCGUCAAUGCAUGGCAUAGAAAUUCAAGGUAUAGAGCUUUUGCUCCAAUUGGUCGACCAAACUUCUAACAUAUUUGAAAUUUAUAUGCUACAGCAGAUUGUACUACGGUAACAUCACUUUUGCUAGAUUGUUUUCUGUUGUUAUUUAUAACUUUGUCACUUUUCUUAUAUCAACAAAUAUAUCAAGUAAUUAAUUUUUAAACUAUUUGUAAGUGAAUAUUUUUUCAACAACUUGAUAUAUUUGUUGCGGGGAUCAAAGUAAGAUAAAAUUGUUUCGUUUUAAGAAAUUUUAUGUUAUUUUUGGGAUGUAAUUUUACCCUCUCAAAGUUACGAAAAUCAUUUCAUCAAAAUGACAAUUUACAAAACGUACAGUAUAUAAGUCACACAUUAAAGGUUCAAGGUUACCUAAUAAUGGAUAUCGAAUCAAAAUCAACAUAAAUUUCAAGUCUACAUUGUGGGCCCAUUUUGGUGUGUGGGUUUUGAACAGCAUAAUCGAAAAUCCAUAGUUGAGAAGUAUUAGGUUCAUGACCAAAUGUACAUUGUAAAGGUGAGUAAUAAUGGUAAGUAUUUGUUUUGUGCGAACUAAUGAUUCAACAUGUAAUUUGGCAUGUCUCCAAAUAAAAGUUGGGAGUUUUAUUGCAUAAAUAAUGGUCUAUUACUAAGUUCUAUAAAUUAGAUAAAUCAUUUUGUUAAAUCAUUUUGUGUAUGGACACGUGCAAUUGAAUAUUCAUUAACAAUCUCAAUUGUCAUACAAUAAUCUUUGAAUUGUUUGUGAUUAAAUUCACCAGUAUUAUUAAGACGAUUUAUCUUGAUUGAGUAAUCAAAAAAUUGAGCUCAUAAUUUUAUGAUUUUUGGCAAAUAGUUUCGUAAAAAUUGCAUUCCUAGUGGAAAAUAAACAAACAUGUGACCUCUCAUAGAAAAUUUAAUCAAUACCAUAAAAAAUAAAAUGGUCUACAUGGUGGGUGUAUUGAUCUACAUAUAUCUCUAUGAAAUCUCACCAAAAAGUUAGAUAUUCAACAUUAACUUUUGUAGUUUGAAUGUCUGAUACUUGCCUUACAAACAACCAGUACAUAUAUAAUCAUAGGUAAAAGAAUUUUCUAGUUCUUUAGAGGAUGUGCAUGUGAGUUGUUAUUGUUCAGCACAUUAUUAUUGCUUCUGAACGUUCAAGUCAAUCAUGCCAAAGUAUAAAACUUUUUGGGUCAACGAAUUUCUAGUUCGUUAUAACAUUUGAUUCAAUUAUUUUUAUAAUAUAAUACAUAUCAAAUGUGAGUGCAUUUAAUUUUUUCUUUUAUCUAUUUUUGGCCAGAUACGAAAGAACUUGUGGAAAGAUAUCCAAUACUAUUUUUUUUUUUUUUUUUUUUUUUUUUUUUUUUUUUUUUUUUCCUUUUUUGGUAAUUUUUUUAAAAAAUAAAGAAAACAAAUUCUAAUUUUUUUUUUUGUAUUGCUUCUAUGUGAUAUCCAUUUUGGUGAAUAUCUUUAAAAACUAAGUAAUUUUUUUAAUUUGCUUGAAUAGAGUGCGUCAUCUCUGUAUAAUUUUGUAUUAUUUAGUAAGAUAAUACAAGCUUUUUUGAAUUUUUCAACGAUAUUUGAUGUAUUUGGUAUUUCAUUAACAUUAUAUUUUGCUAAUAUUAAUUUCAAGAAGUACUUUUUUCUUUAAGAAUUGUGUGCGUAGUUGCACUAUCUGCUUGAUAAAUGUCUUAAUAAUCCAUCUUAAAUUUUAUUAGUGUUUCAAAAUUAUUGUUUUUUCAGAAGUAAUAAUGAAAUAAUUUUUUUUUUAAAUAUUGAGACAUUGAAUAUUAUGCUCUUUAGGAGUGAUAAAUUAAUAUUCUUCUUGUAAUAAAAUAAAAUAAAAAUUUAUUUUUUCUUCAAUGAGUUGUUUAAUUCAUGCUUCUUCAGGAGCAUAACAAGAUAUACUCUUAAAAAGUAAUAAAUACAAUAUUCUUUUGAAAAUAUCAAUAUUAACAAUUUCGUGCUAAAUAAUACAAUAUUUUUCUAGAAUAUUUAUCGAAUAUAAAGUCGUUCUUCUUUAAGAGUAAUGAUACAACAUUUAAGAAUUGGAAUAGGUUUGGAUAACUUUGAUUCAAAUUCUUAAAACAAAAAAAAAUAAAUAAUAAUAAUAAAAAAAAAAUUGUUCUCCAAAGAUUUAGGAUUUCCAGUCAAAUUAAAAUUUGCUACUGCUCGCAUAGCGAUUUCUUACAAAUGAAUCGCUUGAUUAUCAUUUUAACCAUUGAUUUUGAGAACAAUGAGAUAUGGACAUAUUGUUCAAAUUUCAUGACGAUCUAAACAUGGUUUUUUAACAUAUCAACAUUGAAUUAGAAUUGCCGCAUGUUGUCCAGAUUCUGCAAAGUUUAUGCGCUAUUGAUUUCGAAGUUCUUUCUAUUUUGGGUUAGCCCAUUCGAAACAUGAUAUUAAAUGCAUGGGCCACCACUUCUUCGAGAGUAAUAUGUCAAUAUUUUUCUAAAAUAUUGAAAAUUAUAAUUAAUGCUUUUCAAGAGUAAGUACUAUUUUUCUGAAAUAUUAAUUGUACUAUUGUAGUACUUUAGGAACAACAAGAAAAUAAUUGUAACAGAUCGAUCUACAAGUACUAAAUUAAUAAGUUAUUCUACUAAAUUAAUAAGUUAUACUAUGUAUUAUAAAAAGUAACUAUGUGAAAAUUAAUCAAAUGAUAAACAAAAAAUAAGAUUGAUGAAACACGUCUAACAUGCAGUGAAAACUAUAUAUAUUCGGCCCCUCAGGUCAUAUUUUAGUGGUGCAAAAGAUAAGUGUGAUGUAUACUCAACCUUGCUGGUAGCCGGAGUGUGAGGAUUCGAUUUUUAAAAUAUGGAUUGAGAUUCUUUAUGGGGAACCAGUGAAUAAGCAGCUCUUGUUCCUUAAUCUGUUGGGACACAUCCCGCGAUUAACCCCUCUCACGAUACUCCAAAGGCGGGACAGUGGGGAUCCUUAAAGUUGGGAUUCAACAUUUAAAAAAAAAAUGUAUUCGUGGAGCUAAAGUCAUACGAUUAAAAUAACGUAUUAAUUAAAUGGUCAACGUGUGAAUGCAAUGAAUGGGUAACAUGUAUUUGCAAUAUAUAUAUUAACUAAAUAAACGUGUAAUGGCAAUGGAAUGAAAGUCCAUAACAAUCAUGAACACAAAUAAUUAAAUCAAACAAUUACAUGUGAAUGGCUGGAUGCCACGUAUAUUUUAAGUCCAAAUAACUUUGUAGUGUGGUCGCACACAGAAUUUUCCUUGGCAGAAGAAUUCCAGAUACUCAAAUGGGGAGUGGGUCCAAUGUGAGUAAAAUAAUCCUAAAAUUAACCCACCCACACAUGCUAAGUGUAUUAGGUAAAAGGUCUGUAAACGAAUUUUCUAUAUGUGAAGGGUAGCUCUUUCAAAUAAGUACAAUCAUGUGACAUCGUCAGAAAAAUAAGAUGAGAUUUAAAUAAGAACUACCGAAGCAAAAUGAAAGUGUAUCGUAUAGAUAAAAUUGAUGACAGAAUGAUACGUAUAUUCUGCAAUGAAAAAAAUAGAGUUUAUUGACAAAAAAUUGACGGCCUUAUUAGAUACUAAUUAGUAUGACCAAACAAAGAGUAUAAAAAUUAAAGGUUAGAAAUAAAACAUGUACAACAAAGAUACCGCAUCUGUCAAUGAAAUGAGAUUAGGUAUAAAUUUAUCGUCUAACUAAUUCAUUUUGAUUUUCAGGUACUUGUGUUGAAAACGUAUUAUAAACUAGACAAAAAAGAGAAUAAAGUAAAUAAAUCAAUAGACUUGUGUGUUCUUUAUUGAUAACCUAUGUUUCAUAUUUAUAGUAUUCAAAAUGAGAGUUGCAAUUAUAGUGAAAUCUACUCUUCUAGACUAGAUAAGAUUUAUCAACGUAUCAUGUAAUACUAAAUAAUCAUCCAUAAUGAUCACAUGAUUUUACAGUAAUUUGUAAAUUUUGAAUUUUGAAUUCUAAUGAUAUAACUGGCAUAAUUUCUUCCUUUGCUUGUUAAGCUAAUGUUUUUUCAAAGUUUGAAUUUAGACUUUUAGUUAAUGAGCCUAUCAGUCCUCUAUGGGCUUUUCUUCAAUUGGGCCCAACUUCUAAAUUCAUACAGACCUCACCUUCGAACACUAGAGACUUGGUGCUUAUUUGAUAUGGAUUUUAUUAAUUGAUUUUUUGAACGUUAUAGAUAAAGUGGUUCUUAUGAGCAUGUUUGGACCCAAUUUUUUCACUCAAAAAAUUGAUUUUUUGACUGUUAUUUCACUAUUUCAGUCGUUAUAUUUGACUUCUUCUCUCACAAAUGGACCCCACUUUUCUCUCAACGGUCAAAAAAUUAAUUUUCAAAAUCACUCCCAAACAGACUCUUAUAUGUGAGAGAAGAAUUUAAAAAUGACGGUUGGAAUAGUAAAAUAACUGUAAAAAAAUUAAUGUUAAUUGGAUUAAAAUCUCUAUCUAACAUGUUCUUAAUAGAUCGGGUAAACGUUUAGCCCCCGUUUGACCCCAUUAUUUGGAUUUAUAACUGGAGAAUAAUGUUUUUUUUUUUUUUUGAAAAAUAGAUGGUUGUGAAAGAAUGAAAAAUUUUCGAUUUGUGUAAAAUAUUAUUUUAUUAAAAAUUGUGUAGUUAAAAAUAAGAGAAAAUUUUUUUAAAAUUAAAUUGAUGAGUUUUAAAGGGGCCAAACUGGGCUGUUAAUGAAACUAUGUUAGGUCAACUAAAUCAUCCAUGGUAAUAUGGAAGAUAUGGAUGAACGACGUAAAUUUUUAAAAGUACAUCUGACACAUGUUUAAAUAUAAAUAUUUAAAAUUUACAUUUCAAUUUUUUACGUUCCAUGAAUACUGUAGAAGUAUAAUUAUAAACUAUCAAAUCCCCUAACUCCUUAAAAUUAGAAAUAUAAUUAACGAAUAAAACACUCUCAUCAAUUUAAAUCCCAAUGAAUAAUGUCAAUCCUCCAAAUUCAUUAUCAAAUUGCUCUUUGUACCAAACAAACAUCAAAUCAAAACGGACUUCUCUUUUCUUCAAUCAUCCACCUUCCAACAACCUUUUCUCAAUUGUUCUUAUAGAAACCUUCAUCUAUCUCAUUCAUUAUAUGUUUCGAUAUGUUCAAUCAACUCUCGAAUCAUGUUAUGUAUAUUCAACCUAAAUUAGAAACCCUAAAUGUCGCACUAUUUAAAAAUGGUUUGAUAGAAUAUCCAUAGAAAUCUUUGUUUUAUAGAAAGCUUUGAUAGAAUCUCAUUAAAACGAUUUUAAAUUUUUACUAUCACUUUUAUAUUCUCGUUCCAUUAUAUCCCGAUUUGCGAUUACUCACUACAUUUAUAGCCAUUAAUAGCUUGCCAUCAUCUCAUACGAAAAAGUUCCACCAGGAACUAGGCCAAUCGUGAAUCUAAAACAUUGGUAGAGAUUUUUGAACUGAAAAUGAAAAAAUGAACUCCCCUAAUCGACACAUUACUCGAUCAAUAAGAUGUAUGUCAGAUGGACAUUGUAGUGAUAAUGGGUUGAUGUCAACAAUUCGUUUGGAGGCUAGAGUUGCAGAUAUGAAGAUCCCCAAAAUAACAAUGGUGUUAAGAGGAAUAUAGAAACCGAUCGAUGUUCUCGACUUUAGUUUUAAGAAAAAAAAGUUGGUUCAAAAGCAUCAACUACUGAGAUAAUAGACAUUAUGUUUAGUAUUAUCUUUUUUUCUAUGAAACAUGUUUUGAAGUUUAUUUUUGACAAAACAAAAAGUUUGUUUAUCUUGGUGAAUCAGUUUUUUUCAAUUUUAUUUCAUGUAUUGAAGUCUGUUUUAGACAAAACAUAUAUCACUCUUUUAUUAUUAUUAUUAUUAUUAUUAUUAUUAUUAUUAUUAUUAUUAUUAUUAUUAUUAUUAUUAUUAUUAUUGUAAUGUGAAACACUCCUUACAGAUGGUAUUUAUACGAUGGCUAUUGAUAAUUGUUUCCAUGGUUUUUUUGAAAUUGCAUUUGAAAUGGAGAUGAAAUUAAUUUCAGACAAUGGUUCCAAAAUAUAAAUGAAAGUAGGUUUAGCAUAAAUCUGGCGAAGUCGCCACAAUUUUCACACUUCUGGCGUGUUUUAUUACAAGCAUGAAAUUUGCGCGAAAAAAAUAAUAAUUUGUAAGCUAUUGAAUUGUCUAAAACUUAUUUGAAUGAAAAUUGAAAAUUAAUAUAUGUUUGAUUGACUUAAUUUUUAACUUAGAGCGUGUUGUGCUUUUCAUAAAGUUGAAUUUUUGGAAAAUUUAAAUUGCCUAGAAAAUAAAAACCUAUCCCUAAUAAAGAAAAUAUUUUUCUUAUUGUCGAUAAAAACAUGGUCGUGUGAUCAAAUUUUAAAAAAUAUUUUUCAUAGGAAAAAGUCAAUUAAAUAUAUCAAAAGCAGAAUCUUGGGUGAAAAAAAAAAAAUUUCAUGAAAAAUAAGGUCAACCAAACACACUUAACGUGUUGGAUUAAAGAUCCACUGAUUCUCUCCAAAGUUUGCUCUUUUUAUUUAUUUAUUUUUGUUCUUUUUAAGUAGGACAUAUAUAGUGAACCACUGGGCAACUUGAGGUGGUUUUAUUUUAUUUUUUUCAAGUGGUGUAAAAUUUUUUCCAAAUUCUUUUUAACAAAGAAAACAAACUCCGGAAUACGUGAAAUAUAAAUAGGAGAGAUUCGGAUUUACUUUGAUUUAACUGUAUCUACUUGUUCCUCAACUAAUAUAUUUUUCUAUCUAUUAUCAUGAUCGAUAACUUCUCAUAGAUAGGUCCCUCGAUAUUGAUUGAUAACUGAUCCCAUGAUCAAGAUCUUGCACAUGUUUUCCUCAAUGUGGAUAACAUGCAACAAGUUGGUAAUGGGCAUCCAACCUAUAAGCCACAUUUUUUACCCUAUUAAGGAUUUUUGUGGAUCAAUUUGAUUUUCUUGCCGAACCUCGUGAUGUUAUCAUUAGAAAGACUUUAUCUCCAAUUUAAAAUUCCAAAUCUUCCCUUCUCAUGUUCGCACAAAUCUUUCAUCUAUCUUGCAUUGCUUUUAUCCUAAUACGAACAUUAUCAACAACUUCAACUAUCCUUUUAGCGGUCUCCGAUCCCAAAAACUCUCUUUUUUGGUUAAAUGUAUCAUUGGGCCGACUAUCUUGAAAAAUUCUUUAAUAAAUUUCUAAUUGCAUCCUGCCAAUCUCAAAAAGCUUGAACUUCAUUGACAUUCAUUGGUAUAUUCAAGUUACAAGUUGUGACACCCCGAACUUAAGUUUCGAGUGUCACGUACUAAAUAUAAAAAACUGCUACCUUUGCUAUAUGUAAAUACUCUUAAAUGAAAGCAUUACAUGUUAGAAACUUAUUUUCAACCUGGUAAAAUAUCUCUCAUAAAAUUUUAAUGGCCAACAGGAGCGCAUGGCGACAAAAUUAUACUUUACAUUUACGGACUCUGCUCUGCCAUGGUUAGUUGGGGCAGCAAGUUCAACUAUUUUUAUAAAAUUCAUCCCAACUCCAUUUUCUAUGAAAUUUAUGACAUUAGAAAGAUAUUUUCAAGUAGUUUUCUAGAUUAAAAUAUGAAAAAUUUUCAAAAUCAUAUGAUAUGGGCUUUUUACUGAAAACAGUGAGAUAUUGCACAAAAAUUUCAGAUUGACCCUUCAACGUUUAAAAAUUCAUAUCUCAGGUUAAAGUUAUCCAAAUUGAGUGAUUCUUAUGCCCAUAUUAAGACAACUCAAUGAGGAACGCAGCAAUAUUUUCAAUGUCUCAAAUAGACAUUUAUGGAGUCAGAAAUAACGUUUUGAAGUUGACCCAAAAACUGUUCCGUUUCUGCCUUUUGUCACUUGCAAGGAGAAGUUUUUAAAAAAAUGCUCUUAACACAACAUAGAAGAUAUAAUUGAAUAAUUUACUUCCGGUACCAUAUUACCUCAUGUCUUAUACAUGUUUUUAUACAAUACCAUAAGAAAACAUAUGGAAAGCAGUCGAACAAAACAUGCAAAAAAAAAUUUCGAUGCAAAACAAUCUUGUCCCUAACCCAUCAUCGAUUAUACCGACUGACUUCCACCAAUUUCGCAAUUAUGGAUCUGAAAAUUUAGUAUAGAAUACUAUGAGUAUAAGGAAUACUCAGUAAGAUAUCAUGCUUGGAUUUUAACAUGUUAAUCCUACACAAAAGAAUGCAAUCAAACACAUACUUGCACAUUCCGGCUUGCCGGUGCCCUUUGGACUUGUCCUAAGGUAUAAGUAGAUAUUUAACUUUUGUCCACCACAUUCAUAUUAUGGUUUUUCAUGCAUACCUUAAGCAUAAAUAUUACCAUGAAAUCCUACCACUUAAGCAUAGAAAGUAUCUUACUGUAAAACUUGAAGAAAAUUCGGUUGAAAGAUGAAUUGAGAGUGCUAGGCUUGUCUCCCUUUUUUUUCUCACGUUGAAUGCCCUUUCAUACAAGUGAAAAUCUGUUUUUUUCUUGCAAGGGAAAAUAAUGGCAGCAACAUUUAUAUUUAAAGGUAAGAAAAUGAUUAAUUAAAGGUGACUCUUCAACCAUUUUAUCUACGUGGGCUGCAUGGAUGCAUUUCUUACUUCAAUCAAACACCUAUGAAUUCAUUAACCACCUCAUGCUUAAUUUAAAACAAUUCAUGCAUUGAUUAAACACCUCAUGCCUGCUUGAUACAUGCAAUACACGGCCAAGUGGAAGGAAAGAAAAAAAAAUACUUAACCUUGGUAAUUAGGUGCAAAAUCGGACAUUUAUCCCAAACCCCUAAUUAACAAAUUAUUUGGAAAACUUUUAAUAAAUCAACCAAUGCAAAAUUUGGCAGCCAUUAAUAAUUUUGGCCAUACUAAAUUUUGAAAAGUCAAAUUACUAUCCUAAAAAUUAAAUGAGCAAAUUAAACGAGUGAUAAGAGUGUAAAAUACCAUAUUUUCCCCUCUUAACUAUUGCAUUCAUGUGAUUAUAUUAUGCCAAAAUGCACUCAUUACUCUUAUAUUUUGGUUUAGGUUACAUUUUGGUGAAAAAUAUUAAAUUCGGAAGAAACAAGUGAAAAAUGACCAAAGUAGAAGAGAACGAAAGUUCGAGGACUAAAGUGCAAAUGAUCCAAACUUGUGUCCAAGAUUAUGAUGAAGAUUCGAAAGUGUUAGAGGUCCAGUGGAUGAGGAACGAAGUCAAAGGGAUGAAAUAACAUCAAAGUUUGAUCAAUACAUCAAUUUCCAAUCGAAAACCAACACACCAGUUUUUAGUCUCAUGUUGGGACCCAUUUUUGACAUGGAAGAUGAUCGAAUUGGGAGAUGACUUCUGAAUAAAAAUUGUGGCCCUUUGAGUUAGCUAUCCAAUGCAACUCAAAUCACCUCAAUUGGACAUCAGGAAAGAAAGUUACAAUUAAAAUACUGAAAGCUGUCUGGCGGAACCAUGCGGCCGCAUGCCUUUCUACUAUGCGGUCGCACACACCUAUACCGAGAAUUGAAGAGGCUGAAAGUGCAUAACCAUGCGACCGCAAUGACAAUAACCAUGCGGUCGCAUAGUUUUUUUUUGGCGGCCGAAUCUCAGUUUCCUUAUACGAUUAAAUCUCUUAUGGUAACCUAAUUUUCAUGGGAUAUAAAUGCCCAAAACCACCCAGAACGAAGGCAGACGCCCCCAGACCUAUUUCUUUCAUCUUGGUGCUCAAAAAACUCCAUGGAAAACUAAGGAACUCGGUGAAACAACGAAGGAACUCAUUGGAUUUGGAGAUUUCACGUCAUAAUUUCAUGUAAUUCGAACUCUCUUUGCUUAAUAAUUUCUAGAUUUGGAUUUUCUCGUUAUGAAUUAGUAUUGAAAUUUGUUUAACUUUUAAUAAAUUUCUCAUGGAUUCAGUCAUACUUUUUCCAUUGUUAAAUUAAACUAUUUGUUGAAUUUCAAUUUAAAUUACUUAUUGUUGAGAUUAUUUUAACUUUUAUCAAAUCCUUCAUAGAUCUAGCCAUGCUCUUUCUAUCGAAUGAUUGAAAUAAUUGUUGAAUUUUAAUCUUAAUAUCACUUUAUUGGCGGAUUGAUUACUGCCUUAUGCCUGACGUAUAUGGUCGAUUUUUGAUCUUGUUCCAAUAAAAAUGUGCGAAUGUGUUAUAGAAAAUCUAGAUUCUAGAAACAUAAUUGGAAUAAAAUUGGACUUCACUGUUAAAUCUUCCAAUUAGAGAGUUGAGAAGAAAACCUCUAAUUGAGUAAAAAUACAUGAAUUAUUGAUGUUGAUUGAUCCAAUCCAAUGGGGGAACUCCGACGCUUUACUAAUUCGCAUAUUGAUAAUUAAUUUUUAUUUCAAGUGACAAAUCAUUCCCACAUUUAAUUACGAAGACCCUAGUUUGUUUGAUCUUUUGAGAAUUUUUUCAUCUCCCUGUGGAUACGACACUCCAAAGCUGUACUACAAUCACCGCGUUAUUCUUUGGGCAUAAUCAACGAGCAUAGAAUUUCGGAGUAUUACAUCCCUCCUCCCUUAAAAAAUUUCAUCCUCGAAAUUACCUUAAACUUAGUUGAAAAGUUCUGGAUACUUGGUCUUGAUUUCCUCUUCUCUUUCCCAAGUUGAUUCUUCGACAUUAUGGUUUCUCCAUUGAACUCUCACUAACGAAAUUUCUUUUGUUCUCAAUUGUUGGAUUCUGCGAUCCAAUAUUGCUACUGGUUUUUCCUUAUAAUUCAUGUUUUGUUUGAUAUCCAAUGGUUGAUAACUAACUACAUGACUUUGAUCUGUCACAUAUUGUCGAAGCAUUGACACGUGGAACACAUCAUGAAUUGUCGACAAAUCUGGUGGUAGAGCAAUUCGAUAGGCUGCAUUUCCAACUUUUUGCAAAAUUUCAAAAGGACCUACGAAUCUUGGUUGAAGUUUUCCCUUCGUUCCAAAGCGAAGAACUCCCUUCAUCGGUGCCACUUUUAAGAAAACCUUAUCACCCACAUCAAAUGCCAAAUCUUUUCUCCUUUUAUCAGCAUAACUUUUCUGUCGGUCCUGGGCUGCCUUGAUUCUAACUCUUAUUUUAUCAACCGUUCGACUAGUUUCCUCAAUUAUUUCGGGUCCUAAAACUCUUCGUUUACCUACUUUAUCCCAAUAAAGAGGAGCUCUCUACCAUAGAGAGCUUCAUAAGGUGCCAUCUUUAUCGUAGCCUGAUAGCUAUUAUUAUAGGCAAACUCUACCAGUAGUACAUAACUUUCCCAACUGCCUCCUAAAUCAAGGACGCAGGCACGCAGCAUAUCCUCUAGAGUCUGUAUAGUCCUCUCCGAUUGUCCAUCGGUUUGAGGAUGAAAAGCUGUGCUGAAGUUUAACUUGGUUCCCAUGGCUCCUUGCAAACUUUUCCAAAAUUUUGAGGUAAAUCUUGGAUCUCUAUCCUAUACAAUUGAGGCUGGGAUUCCAUGCAAACGGAUGACCUCUUUGAUGUACAAUCGCGCAUAUUGAUCCAUACUAAAAUUCAUUCUUACCGGUAGGAAAUGAGCUGACUUUGUUAACCGAUCCACUAUAACCCAUAAAGCAUCAUUUCCCCUAACUGAUUUUGGAAAACCCAUAACAAAAUCCAUAGUUAUAUGCUCCCAUUUCCAUUGUGGAAUUGUUAAUGGUUCCAACAAUCCAGAUGGCCUUUGAUGUUCAGCUUUCACUUGUUGACAAGUCAUACACUUCCUAACAAAAAGACCUAUGCACCGUUUCAUAUUUCUCCACCAAAACAUACUCCUUAGAUCAUGAUAUAUUUUUGUUCCUCCUGGAUGAGCAGUAUAUGGAGUUAAGUGUGCUUCUUCAAGAAUUUCUUUCCUCAAUCCCUCAUCUUUCGGCACACACAACCUUCCCUUAAAAAGUAAGGCUUUAUCACUGUCUAAUUCAAAAUCCUUUCGCUUGCUAAUACCAACUUCGGAUUUAAUCUUUUGCAAGAAAGAAUCAUCAUCCUGUGCUACUCUUAUUCGAUCUCUAAGUGUUGGUCGAAUCAUUAGAGUCGUCAUCUUGGUGAUAGUUUGGGUUGGUGGAGCAAUUACUUCUAGAUGUAUGUUUUCAAAAUCCUUUAACAAUUGGUCCUGCAUAGUAAUUAAUACUGCUAAUUGUCCAACCGCCUUUCUGCUAAGAGCAUCUGCUACUACAUUAGCUUUACCAGGAUGGUAAAGGAUAGUGCAAUCGUAAUCCUUCACUAGCUCUAGCCAUCUCCUCUGCCUCAUAUUUAAUUCCUUUUGGGUGAAAAAGUACUUCAAACUCUUAUGAUCCGUAUAAAUGUCACACUUACUUCCAUAUAAGUAAUGACGAGCCCGAGCCGAGAAGGGGGCUCGAUCCCACGAGCUGUUUUGACGAUCCAAAAAAUUGAAUUUUUUUAAAAAAAGGUGCAAAAAAUGUGCAAAAAAAAAAAAAAAAGAAAAAAAAAGCUCACGAGCGGCUCCACUAGCUCGUGGCUCGUGAGCUCACGAGCUCGUGGGCUCCGAGCCGAGCUCGCCCACGAGCAACGAGCCGAGCUCGAGCUCGGCUCGUUAAAAACUCGCCACUAGCCCGAGCCGAGCUCGUGGAUUAAAGGGUCGAGCCGACUGGCCUCGGCCCAUUGCCAUCCCUAACAAUACUAUUACACAUAAAAUAAAAUCUUUUUCUUCUUUUUCAAUCACAUAUUCUCUAGAAAAAAUACUAUUCCAGAAAUUAUAAUAUCAAAUAAUAGGGGCAUAAUUGUAAUUCAUAAAAUAUGAGAUCUUAAUUCUCAAUAAAAUACACAUAUAAGUCUAUUGAAUUCUUUACUUUCCUCUACUUUCACUCUAAUUUAUAAUAUGAACUUUAAUUUUUUUUAUAAAUUUUUAAUAAUUAUUAUGAUAAUUUUAUUUUAUUUUUUCUAAACUUCAAACAUAGUUUGCAUAAAUUUUACGAGUAUGGAAACAUAACAAGCUACCAAAAAAUAAAAUAAAAUAAAAAUCCACUAAAUCAACUAAUAAAUUAAAAUUAUAAUCAUUUUUGGAUAAUUUUUGGAUAAUUUUAGUGAGGCCUUGGUAUCUUGUUUGGGCCAGGAUGUCCACUAAAGAGUUAGGCUUUCAGGUUGAUGUGUUAUUUGGGCCAAAUAAAACUGGGCUUUAUUUUAGAAGGUUUGCAUUUCAGGAAGUAUAUAACCCUAACCUAGCAUGAUCUCUAGGGUUUGACACGUUCUAAAUCCCUCUGAUCUGAUCUGGGAGAAAUGGUGCCGCUUAACCACCCAUUUGUACUUUGUUGCAAUUUUCAAUAUCUGUUACUUACAUAUCGAACUGACUUUAUUUUGCUUCUUUCGUGUAAAAAUGAAUGUUAUAGGCUCCAAAGAAGGGCGCGAAAUUGCCGGCGGGAGUGGCUAAAAAGAAAGCGGAAAAGGUAGUGAAUCCUCUAUUCGAGAAGCGGCCAAAGCAAUUUGGUAUUGGUGGAGCGUUGCCGCCGAAGAAGGAUCUCCACCGAUUUGUGAAAUGGCCUCAAGUGGUGAGGAUUCAACGCAAGAAGAUGAUUUUGAAGCAACGCCUUAAGGUCCCGCCGCCAAUUCAUCAGUUCUCUAAAACCCUCGACAAGAACUUGGGUCUGUUUUUAUACCCUUUCCUCUGUAUAUAUUCGUUUUUUUUUUUUCAUCUACUCUCCGUAUUAUGAGUUCUGACUGUUAUUCUUGUUUGCUAAAUGUGAUCUUGGUAAUUUUUAUAUUUUGCUUUUGAUUGUUUCUUAUGCUUGUGAAAAUUAGAUGAAGGCCACCUACAAUGUAGGAAGCUGGGCGUGUAGUAGUAUGCUAUUUUUUUUUUUCUUUUUUUUUUAUGAUGGACGAUACUGUUGCGUUAUUUGCUUGUUACGAAUGGCGUGUCUUGUUAUGCUUUCACGAAAUGUUUCUUUGGUUUGUAUUAUUAUUUGUGAUUUGAGAUGAGAUACCCCAGAUCAUGUCAUUGUCAAUUCAUUUGAAAAUUUCAGCAUGGUACAAUGAUGCUAUUGAUGGAAUCAUGUUUGGUUAAUUUAUGCUUAUGCAAAUGUUAUAAUUCUAAAAUUGAGUGCUCAGACUGGAUUCUAUCUUUAUUAUCCUUUCUGAAAUAUAUACCGUUGGUUAUCUGGUUAAUAGUAAAGAGAAUUGUUUUUAGGACUGGAUAAGUCUGGAAAAUAUAGAAUUUAUAUAGAUACACGUGGAUCUCUGAUCAUAAAUUGCUUAAGCAGUAUUUAUCAAUUUUGUAACUGAUAAUCUUUUAUAUCUUUUAGACAAAUUCAUAUCUAUGUAAUAAUAGAGGAGCCAAUCUAGGCCAUGAAAUUAACAUUUACGUUGUAGUUUGGCUUUAUGGUCUUGGAAUUGCUGUCCCAACUAUGAUCUAUGCUGGUUAUAAAGGGCCUCUUUCCGUUGCCUUUUUGUAAAAUUUUAUUGUUGUUUGGCUUUAAAAUGAAAUUAAAUUGUGCUUACCAUUGUCAAAUUUUAUGUUCAUGAUAUUGAAUUUGGUUGCAGUAUUUAUCAAGCUUGUAGCUGAUAAUCAUCUAUAUCUUUUAGUCAAAUUCAUAUCUAUAUACUAAUAGAGGAGCCGAUCUAGGCCAUGAAAGCAACAUUUACAUUGUAGUUGGGCUUUGUGGCAUUGUAAUCACUGACCCAACUAUGAUCUACCCUGGUUAUUAAAGAGCCUCUUUCCAUUACCUUUUUGUAAAAAUUUUUAUUGUUGAUUGGCUUAAAAAUGAAAUUGAAUUGUGCUUGUACCAUUGUGAAAUUUUAUCUUCAUGAUAUUGAAUUUGGUUGCUUUUCAAUAUGCAGCAACAAGCUUGUUCAAGAUGCUUCUCAAAUACAGGCCUGAGGAUAAAGCUCAAAAGAAGGAGAGGCUACUAAAAAGAGCACAGGCUGAGGCGGAAGGAAAAACACCUGAGAUUAAGAAACCAAUCAUUGUGAAAUAUGGUCUCAACCAUGUUACCUAUCUAAUUGAGCAGGUUUGGACUUCUUGACUCCAGUGCAUGUGUUAGUGUAUUAUUACGAAAGAACUAAUGAACCAAGCUAUUAUUGCAGAACAAAGCUCAACUAGUUAUCAUUGCCCAUGAUGUGGACCCCAUUGAGUUGGUGGUAUGGCUUCCUGCAUUGUGCAGGAAAAUGGAAAUCCCUUACUGCAUCGUGAAGGGAAAGGCUCGAUUGGGAACUGUAAGUGGCCUAAGGUCUUUGGCUACGUGAUUUUCGGUAAUAUUUGCUUAGAGCCCAUUAUAAUGUUCUGUAUUAUGCCAUCUUGCAGAUAGUCCAUAAGAAGACGGCAUCUGUAUUGUGCUUAACCUCAGUUAAGAAUGAAGACAAGAUGGACUUCAGCAGGAUCUUGGAAGCUAUUAAGGUAGUGUGCUAUUUAUAUUCUGUAAAUCAUGUUUUCUUUAAGUCCUAUGUUGAGUUAUUCUUGAUAUGUUUGGCAUAAAUUAAAAUUUGAUGGACAAAAUACCUUGUUUUCUUUUUCUGCUGUUGCAACAGGCCAACUUCAACGAUAAAUACGAUGAGACCAGGAAGAAGUGGGGUGGUGGAGUUAUGGGCUCAAAAUCCCUGGCCAAGACAAAGGCCAAAGAGAGACUCAUGGCCAAGGAGGCUGCACAGAGGAUGACUUAGGCUCUUAGUCUUGCAUUUUUCUAUCAAGGAUGGAACCAUAUGAGCGAACCUUUUUUACCUUCCUUUGUUGCUACAAUUCAUGCUAGACAUUUUUGUUUCCAUGUGAUAUUUGAUAGACGAAAUGCUUUAUCGUGUCUAGUAUAUGACGAUGUUUGGUUUUGUCAGGUGUUUAUGUACUUCAAGUUUUUCGUAGAAUGAAAU